UCAAAACGACGUCGCGGACUCUCUCUCCACCCGUUUUUGUUGAAACUUCUAACACCGCAAGCCUCAACGAACUCACCCUCCCCCAGCUCAUAGUGAUAGGACAUCAUUAUCUAUCUAAAAAUCUUAGAUUUUUAAAUUUCCUAUAUCUGAUGCAUAAUCUAAGCCCUAACCCUAAUCCUAGUCUCAUCCGAUUCUCUUUCAAUCCAACCCUUCCUCGUCUCAAUGUCCAACAAAUAAAUGGAGAUUUUUGUGUCUUAGGCAUGAAGAAUCUUCAUCUGCAGUACCCGAGUCCGAGUUUGUAGAAGAUAAAUUAUCAGAAGAAUCGGUGAAGCCUGAAUACAAUCAAAUAAAUGAUGUGCAGAAAGAUUGGAUUUCAAGACUUAGAAAGGUUACAGAUGCACUUUUUGGUGCAUAACCUUGGACAGUGCCACGAACAGCAAAGAACAUAAUACGGCAAGCAUGGUAAGGUGUACUUGACUGACUGGGAAGAUUAUGUUUGGGUUCAAUUUUACAACCCACCAUGUCAGUACAGUCCAGGCAAUUUGGCUAAAACUUGAAGAUGCUUGGAAGCAGUGGACUACAUCUUUUAAGGACUGCCUGCUGCACCUCAGGCAUCUGGAAGUGGCUUUCAUUCCAGCAGGACCAGCUGACCUCACAUCGGAAGUUCUUCCUGCCAUUAAGAACUUGGCUAAAUAUGGAGGAGUGAUGCUGUGGUCAAAGUAUUUUGAUGAUCUAACUGGCUUAAGCUCUUCCAUGUCUAAAUUACUUCCUAAUAAAUUCCUGUACUUCCUUGCUGUAUUGGUCAUUGAACUGAUGCUUGUGUACUUUGGUUUUAUAAUUUGAUGUAGUACAAAUAUAGAGUAUAGAAUCACUUUAAACUGUCGCCUACUUGUUUAUAUAUGAUCUCAUUUUUACAUGAACUGUGCAACAAAAAUGUUUACAAAUAUUUGAUCAAAUUGAUGUAUGCACAACACAAUAUUGAGGAGCUUUUAGCUAUUUGCCAAUCCAUGGU